ensembl:snRNA U2 U2 spliceosomal RNA
AUCACUUCUCAGCCUUUUGGCUAAGAUCAAGUGUAGAAAAUGUCUGUUAUAUCUUUAUUUUUAACACUUAUUUUUUAAAAAUUUGAAUUCUA